AUUGAACGCUGGCGGCAUGCUCUACACAUGCAAGUCGAACGGUAACAGGCCGCAAGGUGCUGACGAGUGGCGAACGGGUGAGUAAUGCAUCGGAACGUGCCCAGUCGUGGGGGAUAACUACUCGAAAGAGUAGCUAAUACCGCAUACGAUCUAUGGAUGAAAGCGGGGGACCGUAAGGCCUCGCGCGAUUGGAGCGGCCGAUGUCAGAUUAGGUAGUUGGUGGGGUAAAGGCUCACCAAGCCAACGAUCUGUAGCUAGUCUGAGAGGACGACCAGCCACACUGGGACUGAGACACGGCCCAGACUCCUACGGGAGGCAGCAGUGGGGAAUUUUGGACAAUGGGCGCAAGCCUGAUCCAGCAAUGCCGCGUGCAGGAAGAAGGCCUUCGGGUUGUAAACUGCUUUUGUACGGAACGAAACGGCUCUGGUUAAUACCCGGGGCUAAUGACGGUACCGUAAGAAUAAGCACCGGCUAACUACGUG
rnacentral:rRNA from 1 species